GACGGGGGGGGCAAGUGUUCUUCGGAAUGACUGGGCGUAAAGGGCACGUAGGCGGUGAAUCGGGUUGAAAGUGAAAGUCGCCAAAAAGUGGCGGAAUGCUCUCGAAACCAAUUCACUUGAGUGAGACAGAGGAGAGUGGAAUUUCGUGUGUAGAGGUGAAAUUCGUAGAUAUUGGGAAGAACACCGGUGGCGAAGGCGGCGCUCUGGACCGAGACUGACGCUGAGGCGCGAAAGCGUGGGGAGCAAACAGG
rnacentral:rRNA from 1 species